UACAGAGGUGGCAAGCGUUGUUCGGAAUUACUGGGCGUAAAGGGCGCGUAGGCGGCCUCGCAAGUCCCGUGUGAAAUCCCUCGGCUCAACUGAGGAAUGGCACGGGAAACUGCGGGGCUUGAGUUCGGGAGAGGGAAGCGGAAUUCCGGGUGUGAGCGGUGGAAAUGCGUGAGAUAUCCGGAGGAACGACCGGUGGCGAAGGCGGCUUCCUGGACCGAUACUGACGCUGAGGCGCGAAAGCUAGGGGAGCAAACGGG
rnacentral:rRNA from 1 species